UUCGCCCUUAGAGUUUGAUCCUGGCUCAGGACGAACGCUGGCGGCGCGCCUAACACAUGCAAGUCGAACGGAAGUGUUCAAUCGGAAGUUUUCGGACGGAAGAGGGGACAGUUUAGUGGCGAACGGGUGAGUAACGCGUGAGUAACCUGCCCUUCAGAGGGGGACAACAGUUGGAAACGACUGCUAAUACCGCAUAAGCCCACGGUGUCACAUGGCACAGUGAGAAAAGGAGAAAUCCGCUGAAAGAUGGACUCGCGUCUGAUUAGAUAGUUGGUGGGGUAACGGCCUACCAAGUCGACGAUCAGUAGCCGGACUGAGAGGUCGAACGGCCACAUUGGGACUGAGAGACGGCCCAGACUCCUACGGGAGGCAGCAGUGGGGAAUAUUGCACAAUGGGGGGAACCCUGAUGCAGCGACGCCGCGUGAAGGAAGAAGGUAUUCGUAUUGUAAACUUCUGUCGCAGAUGACGAAAUAAUGACGGUAAUCUGCAAGAAAGCACCGGCUAACUACGUGCCAGCAGCCGCGGUAAAACGUAGGGUGCUAGCGUUGUCCGGAAUUACUGAGUGUAAAGGGAGCGCAGGUGGCAGUGCAAGUUGGAUGUAAAAUCUACGGGCUCAACCCGUAUAAGCAUUCAAAACUGUGCAGCUUGAGUGAAGUAGAGGUAGGUGGAAUUUCCGGUGUAGCGGUGGAAUGCGUAGAUAUCGGAAGGAACAUCAGUGGCGAAGGCGACCUACUGGGCUUUAACUGACGCUGAGGCUCGAAAGCAUGGGUAGCAAACAGGAUUAGAUACCCUGGUAGUCCAUGCUGUAAACGAUGAUUACUAGGUGUGGGGGCGAAAGCUUCCGUGCCGGAGUUAACACAAUAAGUAAUCCACCUGGGGAGUACGACCGCAAGGUUGAAACUCAA
rnacentral:rRNA from 1 species